CAAUAGCGUAUAUUAAAGUUGUUGCAGUUAGAACGCUCGUAGUCGGAUUUCGGGGCGGGCCGACCGGUCUGCCGAUGGGUACGCACUGGUCGGCGCGUCCUUCCUUCCGGAGACCGUUCCUACUCUUAACUGAGCGGGGGCGGGAGACGGAUCGUUUACUUUGAAAAAAUCAGAGUGUUUCAAGCAGGCAGCUCGCUCUUGCAUGGAUUAGCAUGGGAUAAUGAAAUAGGACUUUGGUGCUAUUUUGUUGGUUUCGAACACCGAAGUAAUGAUUAAAAGGGACAGUCAGGGGCACUCGUAUUCCGCCGAGAGGGGUGAAAUUCUCAGACCAGCGGAAGACGAACUACUGCGAAAGCAUUUGCCAGGGAUGUUUUCACUAA
rnacentral:rRNA from 1 species